rnacentral:rRNA from 1 species
UGUUCGAAAGGGAAACAGCCCAGACCACCAGCUAAGGUCCCAAAAUAUAUGUUAAGUGGAAAAGGAUGUGGCGUUGCCCAGACAACUAGGAUGUUGGCUUAGAAGCAGCCAUCAUUUAAAGAGUGCGUAAUAGCUCACUAGUCGAGUGACACUGCGCCGAAAAUGUACCGGGGCUAAACAUAUUACCGAAGCUGUGGAUUGUCCUUUGGACAAUGGUAGGAGAGCGUUCUAAGGGCGUUGAAGCAUGAUCGUAAGGACAUGUGGAGCGCUUAGAAGUGAGAAUGCCGGUGUGAGUAGCGAAAGACGGGUGAGAAUCCCGUCCACCGAUUGACUAAGGUUUCCAGAGGAAGGCUCGUCCGCUCUGGGUUAGUCGGGUCCUAAGCUGAGGCCGACAGGCGUAGGCGAUGGAUAACAGGUUGAUAUUCCUGUACCACCUAUAAUCGUUUUAAUCGAUGGGGGGACGCAGUAGGAUAGGCGAAGCGUGCGAUUGGAUUGCACGUCUAAGCAGUAAGGCUGAGUAUUAGGCAAAUCCGGUACUCGUUAAGGCUGAGCUGUGAUGGGGAGAAGACAUUGUGUCUUCGAGUCGUUGAUUUCACACUGCCGAGAAAAGCCUCUAGAUAGAAAAUAGGUGCCCGUACCGCAAACCGACACAGGUAGUCAAGAUGAGAAUUCUAAGGUGAGCGAGCGAACUCUCGUUAAGGAACUCGGCAAAAUGACCCCGUAACUUCGGGAGAAGGGGUGCUCUUUAGGGUUAACGCCCAGAAGAGCCGCAGUGAAUAGGCCCAAGCGACUGUUUAUCAAAAACACAGGUCUCUGCUAAACCGUAAGGUGAUGUAUAGGGGCUGACGCCUGCCCGGUGCUGGAAGGUUAAGAGGAGUGGUUAGCUUCUGCGAAGCUACGAAUCGAAGCCCCAGUAAACGGCGGCCGUAACUAUAACGGUCCUAAGGUAGCGAAAUUCCUUGUCGGGUAAGUUCCGACCCGCACGAAAGGCGUAACGAUUUGGGCACUGUCUCAACGAGAGACUCGGUGAAAUCAUAGUACCUGUGAAGAUGCAGGUUACCCGCGACAGGACGGAAAGACCCCGUGGAGCUUUACUGUAGCCUGAUAUUGAAAUUCGGCACAGCUUGUACAGGAUAGGUAGGAGCCUUUGAAACGUGAGCGCUAGCUUACGUGGAGGCGCUGGUGGGAUACUACCCUAGCUGUGUUGGCUUUCUAACCCGCACCACUUAUCGUGGUGGGAGACAGUGUCAGGCGGGCAGUUUGACUGGGGCGGUCGCCUCCUAAAAGGUAACGGAGGCGCUCAAAGGUU